CCAUCCGCCCCCAACACCCUCUUCUUCCUCCCACCCCCAGGAUCGUGACACCCAGACUCCUCCCCGACUCAGUAGCGAAGGGCUGAUGGAACCGUGGAAAAUUUUGACUGUUGAGAUUUUUUUCCUGUUUACUGGACUGAGAAUUGGGCAAGAGGAGGAGAGGGAGAACCACCAAGCAAGAACACCAGAGAGGUUUUCUAAGAGAGAAGUCUGAAAAGAGAUUGGCAAUAAUUUGGAAUUGCAUGCACUACUAAUGGAGACAGUAAGAUGGUCACUGAGAGAAGCCAGGAUAUUUAGCACUAAAUUGAUUGAAAGAUGAAUUUUGCCUAUCAGCUUCCGGUUGCUUGGUCAAACUGUGCUACCAUAAAUGAAUAAUCUCCAAUAUAA